UUGGUUGGUAAAGUGCCUGGCUUAGGAC
rnacentral:piRNA from 1 species